CCUGUUCAUAUCACCUCAUGGUUCCAAUACUGAUAUUAGCUUUCCUUGCGCCCUUCGGAUCAACACAUGCCUGCACAAUUAUCCACACAAGACAUUUCAAAGGAGUUUUGACGUGGUUCAUGUUUGGCCCUCCGAAACUCGUUAGCCAGGCAUCCUCAUCCCACUCAUCCAAAGACUCAGAUCCUCUCCAGGUCUUUGGGAUGGUCAGGCAGGUCCUCCAGGAGAGCAGGGUUCCUCCUGUAGAUGUAAGCGCUGGCAUCGUCGUCCAGAUUCACCAGCUCUGCCAGUGAGGACACACAGGUGUCGUGGUCUGUCAGCAUCCCAGGCAGGUGGGAUGACUUGCGCUGGAUACGACAGGAACGACGGACUGGUGUCAGGAACUUCAGAUCCUUGAUGGUGUUUUUUCGCUUGGAACCACUUGCACAUGCUUCAGUGUUGAUUGUUCUCUUAACACUAGAAGGGGAAAGAUAGACAGAAUUGUGUGGUUAGUUGACAGCCAUGUUUAGUUUAAUAUACAUUUCAAUAUAGAGAUGUGAAGUAGUGAUGUUCUCCAUGACCUCCAGUAUUUCCAAUAAUUGUAUGGAAGUGAUUUUAAAAUAGGUAUUUAAGAUAAGAAAUAUCACCUUUGAAGGUAUGGAGUUGUCUUCAGAUUGUAUUUCACUAUGGAGGCUCCCUCUGGUGUAGUCUCCAUCAAGCAUUCGUCAUCAUAAUCACUAUCAA